CAGUAGCCGCGGGAACACGAAGGGGGCUAGCGUUGUUCGGAAUUACUGGGCGUAAAGCGCACGUAGGCGGAUAUUUAAGUCAGGGGUGAAAUCCCAGAGCUCAACUCUGGAACUGCCUUUGAUACUGGGUAUCUUGAGUAUGGAAGAGGUGAGUGGAAUUCCGAGUGUAGAGGUGAAAUUCGUAGAUAUUCGGAGGAACACCAGUGGCGAAGGCGGCUCACUGGUCCAUUACUGACGCUGAGGUGCGAAAGCGUGGGGAGCAAACAGGAUUAGAUACCCCUGUAGUCCCUGUCUCUUAUAU
rnacentral:rRNA from 1 species